AGAGGCGGGAAUAUAACAACAAGACGAGAAGACCCUAUGGAGCUUUAAUUAAUCGACCCAAAGAGAUCCCACUAACUAACCGACAGGAACAACAAACCUCUAUAUGGGCCGACAAUUUAGGUUGGGGUGACCUCGGAGAAUAAAACAACCUCCGAGUGAUUUAAAUCUAGACUAACCAGUCAAAAGUAUUACAUCACUUAUUGAUCCAAAAACUUGAUCAACGGAACAAGUUACCCUAGGGAUAACAGCGCAAUCCUAUUUUAGAGUCCAUAUCGACAAUAG
rnacentral:rRNA from 1 species